rnacentral:rRNA from 1 species
CGGCGGACGGGUGAGUAACGCGUGGGUAACCUGCCUCAUACAGGGGGAUAACAGUUGGAAACGGCUGCUAAUACCGCAUAAGCGCACAGUGCCGCAUGGUACCGUGUGAAAAACUCCGGUGGUAUGAGAUGGACCCGCGUCUGAUUAGCUAGUUGGUGGGGUAACGGCCUACCAAGGCGACGAUCAGUAGCCGACCUGAGAGGGUGACCGGCCACAUUGGGACUGAGACACGGCCCAA